UGUUAUUCUUAUAACCAUUAAAAUUAAAAGAAUCCUCCUUGUUUAGAUUCAUUGCAUUGGAAACUA
rnacentral:tRNA from 1 species